rnacentral:snRNA from 1 species
AUCACUUCAGCAGCUGUAUACUAGAAUUGGAGUGAGACAGAGACUAACAUGGCCUCUGAACAAGGAUGAUGUGCAAAUUCAUGAAGCGUUCCAUAUUUUU